rnacentral:misc_RNA from 1 species
GGUAAUUAACCAAGUAUCUCAAG